rnacentral:lncRNA from 1 species
AGGGCGGAGCUGAGUUCUCCUCUGCACAGACUUCAGAGAUACAGCGAAGGCGGAGCAGUGUUCUCCUCAGCACAGACCCAGGCGGGCCGGGGGCACCGCGAGGGCGGAGCCGCGUUCUGCUCAGCACAGACCCGGGGGACACCGCUAAGGCAGAGCAGCCUUCUCCUCAGCACAGACCUUUGGGGCACUGCCUCGCUUUGGGACAACUCGGGACCGCAUAGACGGGAUCAUGGCACAAGUUGCAGUUUCCACCCUGCCAAUGGAAGAUGAGGAGUCCAUGGAAGAUGAGUAGUCCAUUGAAGAUGAGGAGUCUGUUGAAGAUGAUUCCGUGGAGAGCAGGAUGGUGGUAACAUUUCUCAUAUCAGCUCUCGAGUCCACGGACACUUGCUUCCCUUCUUCCUGCCCUCGGACAUGAGACUCCAGGUUCUUACGCCUUUGGACUCUGGGACUUGUACCAGCGGCUUCCCCGAGGCUCUCAGGCCCUCGGCCUCAUACUGAAGACUGCACUGCGGGCUUUCCUGGUUUUGAGGCUUUUGGACUUGGACUGAGCCACUACUAGCUUCUCUCUUUCCCUACCUGGCAGACAGCCUAUUGUGGGACUGCCUUCUAACCGUGUGAACCAAUUCUCUCUCGUAAUCUCCCUUAUACAUAUACGUGUAUCUUGUUGGUUCUGUCCCUCUGGAGAACCCUGACUCAUACAUUUUGUUUAUUUUUUCUCCAUUGCCCUUUCCUCUGCUUCUAGGCUUACCUAGACCACCACCAUUCUUUCCCCCUUUCUAAAGUAAAAGUUGUUUUUUUCUCACUAAAUGCAUGGUAUUCUGCCCGUUUUCCAUGGCUUCCCUCAGCCCUGCUCUGUUUAUUCUUGCUAUCUUAAGAGGAAAUCCCUGCCUCUUCCGUGGCUUUUCCCACUUGGCCUACAUACUGGUUUCUGUUGUUCUCAGAGACACACUGAGACCCUUCACAUCUCACUGUCACUUCUUGGAAGGGCUCUCUACCUCGUCUGCCUGCUGAGCAACCUCUUGGGGAGACGCAGGCCCUCUUGAGUCACUGAACUUGAGCUAUAUGGUGUUGGUAUGUUAAUUUAUCUUCUUAGACCACUUACCACUUCUUUAACUUCAAAAGAGGAGAAUAAGUAUUAUUUUCCAUGGUUGAUAUGAAGAGUAGAAAUAACUUAUACCAAAUGCAUUGCAGUUAAGUGAUAAUAAAUGGCCGUGAAUGCCCUUAUUAAUGUUAUUCUAUCAGUCUCGGCUCAGAUAGCAUCUGCUCUGUAAGCUCUGCUCUGAAUCAUAUCUGCUUCUUCUCUGGGUUCCUUGUGCUCUGUUCUUAACUACUUUAAAGCAGUAAUUGUUCUGAUUCUAAUUAGUGAUCCUUCCCAAUAAAAUUUUAAUUUUGUAGAUCUCUUCCCCCUACCCCUGCCGCAGCCUAACCAGUGUUUUCUUACUUUUUUGUGUACAAGCUACAUCACUGGUCUUUUAUUUGUGGCUAAAUAAAUGUUGUGUUAGAAGAGUAAAGAGUUCCCAGUUACAUGGGAUCUAUAGUUCUACAAAAUGAAUGUAUACAUAAUCCAUGUAAAUAUUUCACUUAUUUUAAAACAAUUUUUUAAUUUUUAAAUUAAAUUUAAUUUGUGCAUGUGUGUGAGACCAGAGUGAGACCAGAGAUUGCGGCGGUGAGGGGCGGUGGUCUCACCAUGUUGCCCAGGCUGGUCUUGAACUCCCCUUCAAGUGCCCCCCUCCUCACCUGGCCCCCCUCACCUUGCCUCCUCCCCCUCACUCCUAUGCCAGCCCCUGCCAUUCCC